rnacentral:rRNA from 1 species
GUGUCAGCAGCCGCGGUAAUACGGAGGGUGCGAACGUUAAUCGGAAUCACUGGGCGUAAAGCGCGCGUAGGCGGUUUGUUAAGUGGGAUGUGAAAUCCCCGGGCUUAACCUGGGAAUUGCAUUUCAAACUGGCCGACUAGAGUACGGUAGAGGGAGGUAGAAUUUCCUGUGUAGCGGUGAAAUGCGUAGAUAUAGGAAGGAAUACCAGUGGCGAAGGCGGCCUCCUGGAUCGAUACUGACGCUGAGGCGCGAAAGCGUGGGGAGCAAACAGGAUUAGAUACCCUGGUAGUCCACGCCGUAAACGAUGAGAACUAGCCGUUGGACCCCUUGAGGGUUUAGUGGCGCAGCUAACGCGAUAAGUUCUCCGCCUGGGGAGUACGGCCGCAAGGCUAAA